rnacentral:rRNA from 1 species
CGGAGGGGUUAGCGUUGUUCGGAAUGACUGGGGCGUAAAGCGCGCGUAGGCGGAUCGUCAAGUCGGGGGUGAAAUCCCGGGGCUCAACCCCGGAAUGGCCUUCGAGACUGUCGGUCUUGAGUUCGAGAGAGGUGAGUGGAAUUCCGAGUGUAGAGGUGAAAUUCGUAGAUAUUCGGAGGAACACCAGUGGCGAAGGCGGCUCACUGGCUCGACACUGACGCUGAGGUGCGAAAGCGUGGGGAGCAAACAGGAUU